CCCAGGCACUCCUGAUCCUCAGCUUGCCACACAUGCGCCGAAGGUCGUGCUUCUCAUUGACUUCUUUGUGGUGGUGCUGUCAGCUCCAUUCUUUGAGCUACUUGUGUAAUCUAUAGCUUCGGGGCUCCCGGUCUUGUUUCUGAACUUCUUCAGAAAUUUGCAGACAACUUAGAAUGAGAAAAUGUUGAUUUAUGGAAGUAUCUUGCACCAGGUUGUAAUAAGCGGAUCAUUAAGCUGUCAUGGUCUAUCGUGUCUGUGGGACUUAGCAGCGACCUUUAAUCAGCAGAUUAUUGACACGACGUAGCAAGCUGUCUGGUAUGGCUGUGGAAGUUCAGGACCUUAGGGAAUACUAAUAAAAGUUCUUGAUCCAGGUUACUGCCUCUAAAAGAAAAAAAAGGCUUAUGUAUUUUUGCAGUUGUUUUUAUUUUAAGGUCAGUGAAAGGUGAAGAAAACAGUACCUUGUACUCAAGGCCCAAAGCUUUUUAUCAGCAAUGUAGAAUUGCACUGCUGCCAAUACUCAGUUUUGCACUGUUGCCAUAUGUUGAAAUCCUCUUUUUGAUGAUUUCAUCUUCCAAAGGAGCUGGUGGAGGGGCUUGGGUAAAGAGUAUGAGGCCUGGUGGCUACUUACUGCAUUUCCCCUGCAGCUUCAGCAGCACUGUCUUGUCCUUGUAGCUGCCAUCUUCUGUGUUUCAUACCACAGUGAAAAUUAAAAUGUGUCUGGAAACAGCAACUCUCCGAAGAAACUGCAGCCUCGGUCCUUGAUGCAUGUAACUGACCAUAAAAAGGAAAUGCAACCAACAGAACCGACGGUGCUCGUUUGUGUUAAAUUCUCUUCUUAGGAUUUACAGAAAAAAGAAAUUAGUCAUAGGUGGAGGCUUGGUUUUGCUCGUAUUGUUUGAAGUUGUUCCAAGUGUUGAGCUGCAUGUGCUACUCUUAUUUUGAAGGGAAAUAUGUUUACAAUUUUUUGGCCUAAUCCCCAGUUAGCUGGAUUUAGCAGACAGAAUUUUAAUAAUGAAAAGGGUUACAAAUUAAUACCAACAGAUAAUACUUCUGAAUAUUUUGUAAAGCAUCCUAAAUGCUAAAUGGAACGUGGGAAUAUGAAAGAGCUUUAUUUUUAGUUCUGUUCUUCAUUCAGCCAAGCAUAAAUUGAUUAGAUACUGCACUCCUUGUCUUAUAGUGUUUUUCUUUCAUGUCAAUUUUACCAGAACUGUAGCAGUAACUUCAUAAGAGGGCUUGUCAGAGUUAAUCAUUUCAGCAAUAGAAUAAAGCAGUGAUAUAUAAUGAAAUGUGUAUCAAGUAUUAAACGUUUUAGUGACUUCUAUGGAAAAAAAAAUAGUACACCUCUGAGGCCUGUUUUCUGACUUCUAAAAUAUAUUAAAAGAUCAGAUUACCAUCAUCUGUUUAUUUUUUUUAUUUUUUGCUAUAAUGGCACCAAUCUAUUGCUCCUAAUCCCUUUUUGUAGACAUUCUGUGGGAUUAAAAAGCCACACUAUGCAAUUUCAAUAAAAUGAGUGUUAUUUUUUUUUUUUGGUAAUUUGAUGUAACAAUGUACUCUAUUCACUCAGCAGUAAUUCAAAACGAAGAAUUCCCCUUACUAAUUCAUUGGACAUUUCCUGAUCCUUAUUAAUUAUUGUCCAGGUUGCAGCCUUCGUUUCGUGGAAUGGAUUUGAGCAAUUGUGAGCAAAUGUCACAUGGCACAAAUAAAUUCACUUCCAUUGACAGCGCUUGUUCAAAGAGUGGUCUCUGAGAAGUGGAUCAGGGAUAAUUUCUCUUGCGUAAAACGUUGGUGGCUUUGAGCUGGUUCACGUGCUUCUGGCAAAAAGCGCUGCUGCCUAAACGGUGAGGUGAUGGAAGACAGGAGGUUGCUUGUGUAUAAACAUUUUUGGCACUUCUUUUUUUGGAGAAGGUAUUGGAUCUUGGGGUAAAAGAACUUCAGGAUUUUGUUUUUCUUCCUAAGCAAAACAAAUAGCAGUAGCCUUGUUAAGUUAAAGAUAUUAAAAAUAGCUGUCUUUCAACGAUGUGAAAAUUUAUAUAGAAGGGCUUCCUCAUUGCCUGUUUUUAAAGGUGUGGGAGGGAGAGAUGAGGAACUACUGGUUAAACUAUCAAGCUUGGUAACAUGACAGUUUGCAGUUUCUAAUCUGCAAAUUCAGGGUAAAAAAAAAA